rnacentral:rRNA from 1 species
CCGCCUGGGGAGUACGGCCGCAAGGUUAAAACUCAAAUGAAUUGACGGGGGCCCGCACAAGCGGUGGAGCAUGUGGUUUAAUUCGAUGCAACGCGAAGAACCUUACCUGGUCUUGACAUCCACAGAAGAAUCCAGAGAUGGAUUGGUGCCUUCGGGAACUGUGAGACAGGUGCUGCAUGGCUGUCGUCAGCUCGUGUUGUGAAAUGUUGGGUUAAGUCCCGCAACGAGCGCAACCCUUAUCCUUUGUUGCCAGCGAUUAGGUCGGGAACUCA